UACAGAGGGGGCAAGCGUUAUUCGGAAUUAUUGGGCGUAAAGGGCGCGUAGGCGGCUUGGCAAGUGGAUGGUGAAAUCCCUCGGCUUAACCGAGGAACUGCCGUCCAAACUGCUUCGCUUGAGACCGGGAGAGGUGAGUGGAAUUCCCAGUGUAGCGGUGAAAUGCGUAGAUAUGACAUAGAACACCAAUUGCGAAGGCAGCUGGCUACACGAAUAUUGACACUGAUGCACGAAAGCGUGGGGAUCAAACAGG
rnacentral:rRNA from 1 species